UCGCGGGGUAGAGCAGUUGGUAGCUCGUGAGGCUCAUAACCUCAAGGUCACAGGUUCGAAUCCUGUCCCCGCCAA
rnacentral:tRNA from 1 species